AUGAUCGCUCGGCUGCUAGGCCGAGGUAUCAGCAUGCGAGUUAGCUUAUACGCUGAUGGCGUCGUCAUUUUCGCCAACCCGGUGAAGGAAGAAGUGGAUGCCCUGCUGCACUUGCUAAGCCGAUUAGGGGAAGCCACGGGACUGAGGUUAAACCAGGAUAAAUCUGCAGUCAUCCCAAUAAAUUGUGUUGAUGUUCAGUUAGAUGUGGUUCUGCAAAACUUUGGGGGGCUACAGUCCUCGUUCCCAACCACAUACCUGGGACUGCCAAUCUCUCCAACGAAACUAAGGCUGGUGCAUUUCCAAUUUAUCAUUGACCGGAUACGCUCAAGGUUGGCUGGGUGGAAAGGCAAGCUCAUGAACAUGGCAGGUAGAAGGGUACUGGUGCGUACCGUUUUGACGGCGCUGCCAGUGUUUGCAAUGACUGUACUCAAAGUGCCGAAGAAAAUCCUAAAAGAGGUGGACAAAGCAAGGAGGCAGUUUUUAUGGGCUCAUGAUGAGAAUGUCACUGGCGCUAAAUGCAAGGUGGCCUGGGGCAAAGUCUGUCUUCCGGUGGAUGGGGGGCUAGGUGUGCUGGACCUCCAUCGAUUCAGCACAGCUCUCCGGCUGUGCUGGUUGUGGCUCUCCUGGCAACAGCCACGCCGGCCUUGGAUGAACUUCCCGGCCAUGUGUCAGGAGGAUCUGGAGCUGUUUGCAUCAGCCACCAACGCGCACCUGGGCAACGAAAAAACAACACUUUUCUGGACAUGCAAAUGGAUCGGGCCGGUGGCGCUGCAACACGAGUUCCCUGCCUUGUUUCAACAUUCCAGAAAGAAAAAUAGGUCAGUCCAUGAAGCGCUGGCAAAUAACACAUGGGUGCGUGACCUCCGGCAUGCCAACACAGCAGAGAUUGCUCACCAGUUUUGGCAAAUGUGGAGGAAGAGUCAGAACGCAGGCAUCGUUCUUUCCUCCGACGAGGACACGAUCAGCUGGGUGGCCACCACAGGAGGAGCAACCUACUCGGCAAAGGCUUCUUACAAUCUACAAAUCAGUGACAUCCCUCCUUCAGGUGAAAAAACUGCGAUUUGGAGAGCUUGGGCGCCAGGUACGGUGAAGAUCUUCGCUUGGCUGCUCCACCAAGACAAGCUUUGGUGCAACGAUCGCCUGCAACGGCGAGGGUGGCCCAAUGGGUAUUUCUGCGUUUGCUGCAACAGAAAUCUGGAAAGCUCAAUCCACCUUUUCUAG
rnacentral:rRNA from 1 species